GGAGGAGUCGCAUAGUGGACUAGUGCGAUUGCUUGGAGAGCAAUUGUGUCCUUCGGGGCACCGUGGGUUCGAAUCCCACCUCCUCCG
rnacentral:tRNA from 1 species